UGUCAAGAAUCAGUUCAAAGCUCUAUUUAUGCAUCUAAUGGUGUGAUUCUUUACAUAAUAUUUUAAAAGAAAUGCUGGAACUGGGAAAUCUGUUUGAUUUACAAUACCUCGGGUAGAUGAAGGUGAAUUUCAGUCGUCAGCAUAAAUAAGAUGACAAUCCAAGAAAAGUUAUGUCCAAAUUACAAUUUGGACUUAAAUGUUUAAUCAUUUGUGCGAUUAAUUUCAAACCUAUUCGAUUAUUAUCAGCUCACCAAAAUAAGUCAAGUUUGCAAAAUGAGCGGGGUCAGCAGUCACUGUCAUCAUCUGAUGGUACAUCUUUUCAAAACAUCCGCCAUGACCCCUCAUUCGUUGACAAGACUGGCUUCAUCAAGGUCUUUCUGGAGCAGUCGGACGAACAUGUUUACACCAUGGCCCCAGCCGGGUUCGGCAAGAGUCACCUGAUAGAUAUGCUCGACCUCUUCUUAGCUUCCCCAACCGUCCACAACGCAUCCACUCAUGCACCAUCCACCCAGGAUUACAAUCUCUUCAAUGGAACCGAAAUUCAUCGAAAUACCGCGUUUUUCAACCGCCACGUCCAGCAGUACCAGGUCAUCCGCAUGGACUGCCACCCCUACCGCCAGGUGAAGGACUUCGAAUCCUUCAGACGCAUCCACUGCCACGCCAUCUGCCGGCUGAUGUCCAGACACACUUACCUCCGAAACACGAAAUCCAACUUCUCAUGGCUUCAAUACAUGGACAAUGAUGAGAAGUGUUCGACUUACUGUGCCUUCAACUUCGACCAGAUCGACUACGCAGGUCGCGACCUCUCGCGGCAACUUGCGGAAGCCUCGCCAACAAAACCAGUUGUCCUUCUCGUUGACGCGUACGACUCUGUAUUCCACGCGAUGGUUGAUCACGACGUCGAUGUCGCUAGAGAAGUUUUAAACAAGUACCUGAAUUUUGUGUCGCGGAUCGUGAAAUGGAGCAACUGCACGCGGUCACUCCUACUGGGGACUUUGAACUUCGGGGGCGUUCAUCCGCAUCUGAUUAAUAACGUCAAGUUCGUCAAUUUCAACUUCCAGUUAUCUUAUGCUCCUUAUUUUGGCCUCACAAAAUCAGAGGUUGAGCGUUUACUUUCGAAAUUCAAGCAUACUGCAGCCCUUGAAAGGGUCACGGAUUGCUACGACGGUACUCUUCCAGGGAUGCGCCCAAACUCGCCAUCUACAACCCUUUCUCAGUUUUGGCGUUUUUGA
rnacentral:lncRNA from 1 species